UCACUUGAUUUAGGGUUAUGUUUCUCUUUUUCAAUCCAUGUCUUCCGCCGUCACUUUGUAUUUCUCGCUUGGAUUCAUUCCGUUUCUGGUAAAUUUUUCGAUUUCCUUUUUCCAACCAUGUACAAACAAUUCAACCCUUUCUUUUAUGUCUUGAGAAUUUUGGAUCACCUCCCUAUUUUCUGGCUAUCGAGCUGUGUAUGUGAAGUGAGUGGGUUGAAUUGGGAUUUUGAUCAAUUAAUUUCUACUCUGUUGACAUAUAAGUAUGUGGGAAAUGAACUGCUAAUUCUUUUCUAUCCGUUCUGUGAUUUUGAAUAUUGGAUUUGUUUAUUUUUGAUAUAUCCAUAGAAUGUACAUGUUAUGUUUUUCAUUGGUAUCUGUAGAACUACUCUUUUGAAAUUGGAAAGUGGAUUGAUUAUCUUGAAACUUUCGUUGAAGGUAACAAAAAAUCAGAUUGUUGAAUUUAUGAUUUGUUCGAAAGGAAUACAUCAGUUUUGUGAUUAACAGGAUUUGUUGGCUCGAUAAUUGUAAUUGCGUGUAUGGUAUCGAUAUGGUUUAAAAUAGCCCUGUCAUUCACAUGUUUGUAAAAUGCAGUGGAUUUCUUCUUUUUGUGUAUUAUAUGGGAUUGAGAAUUUUUCUGCGAUGAUUGAAUAUGAUCUCGUGUUCUGCAGCAUCUUUUGGAAUUUUUCUGCCCUGUAUUGGUUGUUGGACAAGGUUUAUGUAUCAUGAUAUAUUAGUCAAUUUUGAUAGUUUUCUUACACUUUAAGUUCUUUUUGUAUGCCAGCCUGAGUUUGGUAUUCAUGGAUGAUCAGUACUCGUUAUCUUGGGGAAACUUUUAACUAGAAACAUGGAGGACAACGGGCUUGAGCUUAGCUUGGGUCUGUCUUGUGGGGGAUCAUCGGUCAAGUCUAAAGGAAAAAAUGCCUGCUCUUCUGAUGUUGGAACAGAGGAAAGUGAUAGAGGCAGUAAAAUUAUUGAUGAUUUCAAGAAUUUCCUUCAAGGUGGUAAUCAGAGACUAGAUAUGGGCCCAGUUAUCAUGAGAAAUGACUCAUAAAGCUUAAAGACAAUCUUUUUAAUGACCUUUCCCGAGCUAAUACAGAUGGAGAUAAUUCCCUGAACUUGAAGGCCACUGGGAUCUGGCGAAUGAAAAAGAACCCUGUAGACAUUCAGGAAGAAAAACAGCCAGAGGUGAGUAAUAAGCGAAAGAUGUUUUUUGAGGAGAUAAACUGCCAAAAGAAACAUGAAGGAGAUUCCAGUCAGAAUAAUUUUGAUGACAAGGUAAAAGCAUCACAUAAUUCCACAACCGAGGAUGGUUCUGUUGCCGAAAAUGAGGAUGUUGGGGAGUCUGAACUUGAGGGUUCUACGUCAAGGCCAGUUUCACAAAAUGAUGGAUGUGCUGAGUUAAGUACUACGGACCUGAGUGGGCAUAAAAAGGUUAACAGUUCAUCAGGUAGUGAUAUCGAGCUUCAAAACUUGAACAGAAGCGUUCCGUUCUCUAUUCAAACUACAAGUUUGCAGAAUGGUAUUUCUCCUCCAAUAGUCAAAGAUUCUCACGAUGCUGGUGCAUCCAGUUCAACUGGCCAUUCCCUACACAGCAUAAGGCAAGCAUUCCUCACUGGAAAUGGUGAGCAAUGUGGAUUCCAGCCUAUGAAUCCUGGAAACUUGCCUUUGAUGUUUGGCUAUUCUUCUAGCCAGCUUCCAACUUUAAAUAAAGAUAAUUCCCGGGGUUUGAUUUCCCAACCACAGUUGCAUAGUACUUGUAGCAAAAGUCAACCGUCUUCAGGUAAACAUCUUAUCCUACCUCAUCUGGUAGAAAACUCAUUCUUUCUUUCAAGAUAGGAACAAAACUGCGACUGUUCCCGUCCUUCAUUAUUCUGGAUCACUCUUGGUUUUAAGUUACAUCAUUGAAAGUUAAUGAUAGGCCACCGAUUAUACACCAGUAUGUUCAUAGGAGCAGAAAGGGCUAGGAAGUAGUUAUACUAGUGAGUUGGGAGAAUCAUCCAACAGUAAGGAUGAUUAUUUUCGGAAAGUUUCAGGAGGUGAUUAGUAGAUAGUUAUGUAGGGAGUUACUUUACUGUUAUUGGAGAUAUAUCUUUAAAUAUGGAGUGAAGUGAGUAAAGGAGACAAACAGUCUUUUAGUUUGGGUGUUGGUUUCUCUCGUGUGAGAGGAAAGGUUUCUGUAAUACUGUACUAUAGUUAUAUAGUAUGCUUUCUGUGAAUUAAAAGAACUCUUUUAUAGUAUCUAUCAGUUAACAGCAAGAGUGUUAACGGAUAUAGACUGUUAUUACCAAACAACUUUGAGAUUUCAUUUAUUUUGCUUUGUGCUAUUAUAGAUUUCGAUAGAGUUUACUUGAAUAGUGGGGGAUUCAGAAAUUUUGUUGACAAACAUUAGUUGACGCUUGCCUUAUGCUUUAUAGUUUAAUAAAAAUAAUCUAGAAAAAAGUGUAACGAGUGGGGUUUGAACCUAGGUCUAGAAAGGGCUAGGAGAUAGCUUUACCACUGGACUAGCUUCUGGUAUUGUUAUUUUUUCAAUUAUAUAUAUAUUAUAUAAAGAGCAUAAAGUUGAGGGAAUGCUCGAGCCUUAGGCCUUGGGCCUAUACUAAAUGCAUCAGUCGCUCAAACAAAUAAACAUGAAACAUGAAGAAACCCAGGAGCCCCUUUUUCCCAUACAAGUUACUACUACCUUAUAAACAGGAAACAUGAAGAAACUCAGGAGCCCCUUUCUCCCAUACAAGUUACUACUAACAACCCAGCUUUAAGCCAAAAAGAAGCUGUGAGACCCCCAAUCAUACAUACGUAUGUUAGGAAGGGUAAGAAGGGAAAUUCACCAACAAGUAAUGAGAGAGAAUGAGUGGGAAGUAAAAGAAUGUGCAGGUGGGUCCCACUGGGUAGGAAUUUGAGGGUGAGUAUAAAUAGAAUGAUUGGAAAUAGGGAUAGGUAUCUUUUUGUUAUCUUAGGGAAAGAGAGGCGGCAGCAGCCGAAGGAGGGGGUAUCCUUCUUGUAAAGGAUGCUGGUAUGCACUUGUUAUUUACUGUUCUUGCUUUCAUUUCAUAUUGUAGCUGUAUCUUUUGGCUAUACAUAAAUAAAGAAUCACAGGGUGCUGUCUCUGUUUAGCCAUUGUUGGGUUUUAUUAGAAGGUGUGUUAGAAUCCUGACAUUUGGUAUCAGAGCCCAACAAAAAAAAAAAAAAAACUGGGUGUUGUUACGCGUCACAUGGCACAAAGACAAAUGGAGGAACGAAUGGAAGGAACCGAGAAGGAGCUGCUGAGCAUGAAAGAAAUGUUACUGGAAAUGAAGAAAUCUAUGGAAAGACUGACAGAGGAACUAAGAGAGAAUCAUAGCUAUAAGAAAAGAGAUGAAUCCGGAACAUCUGAUGGAUCCAGCAUGAAGUUGAAAGGAAAAGUAGAAGAAUCGGAAGUCUGUAAUGAGGUAAAUGGAAGCAAUGUGGAUCGAAGUAAGUACAAAGUUAGAAAUGCCUAUGUUCUUAGGUGAAAAUCCAGAAUCCUGGGUAUAUAGAGCAGAACAUUUUUUGAGAUGAACAACCUGCCAGAAAACGAGAAGAUCAAGUGGCGGUGGUCAGUUUUGGGCAAGAUGAAGUGGACUGGUACGGUGGACGCAUAAUAGGAAGAAAGUAGAGUCAUGGGAAGAUUUGAAAGGGAGGAUGUUUGAUUUCUUCAAGGACUCAGGGACAAACAAGUCUAGUGGCACGCUUGAUUAGGAUUCAACAAGAUGGAUCCUACAGUGAGUAUGUGAAGAAAUUUGUCACAUAUUCAGCUCCCUCCCUCACAUGGAGGAAAGUGUGUUACGCGAUGCUUUUCUGACCGGUCUGGAACCCAAUCUUCAGGCAGAAGUCGUUAGUCGUUACCCUCGAACAUUGGAAGAUUGUAUGAGGGAGGCUCAACUAGUCAAUGAUCGGAAUGUAGCAAUGAAAUUGACUAAGACCGAGGGCAGGACAGUGGAACCAAAGAAAAAAGAAGAGUAUGCAGGAAAAAUCCAAGAUGGAACAGACAAAGGCUACAUGAGGAGGACAGAUUUCCCCAUAAAACAAGUAACUAUACCUAUUAAGGGUAGUUAUAAAAAAGUGAACCUCCUAUCAAACGACUUUCAGACGCAGAAUUCAGGUCCAGAUUGGAUAAGGGCCUAUGUUUUAAAUGCAAUGAGAAAUAUACACCAGGGCACAGAUGUAGAGUGAAGGAAAAAAGGGAGCUGAUGUUAUUUAUCAUGAAUGAAGAGGAGAGCAAGGAAGAGGAAGGCAAGAUGGAAGAGGAACCAGGGGAAACAGUGGAAUUAAACCAUCUGGAUUUUGCUGAAGGGAGGAAAUAGAAUUGAAGACAAUCCAUGGGAUGGCAUCGAAGGGAACGAUGAAGCUGAAGGGAAAUAUAAAGGGCAAAGGAGUGAUAGUGCUGAUUGAUAGUGGAGCAACCCAUAAUUUUAUACAUAACGGACAGUAAAGGAAAAGAACUUAUAUUGGAAAAAGGUAACCCGUUUGCAGUUACAAUUGGAGAUGGCACCAAGUGUACAGGCAAGGGUGUUUGCAAGAGAGUGGAAUUGGAACUACAAGGGUGUGGUGGUGGCUGAUUUUUUUGCUAUUGAGUUGGGAAAUGUGGAUGUAAUAUUGGGUAUGCAGUGGCUGGAUACAACAGGCACCAUGAAGAUACAUUGGCCAUCUCUAACAAUGUCCUUUGGUAGGCAAACAGAAAAUUAUUUGAAAGGAGACCCAUCCCUCAUCCAAGCAGAAUGUUCCCUGAAAACCAUUGAGAAAACGUGGGAAAAUGAAGAUCAGGGUUUUCUGUUGGAAUUCCAAAAGUAUGAAGUAGACACGGAGGUGGAAGUGGAGCAGGAAAUGAAAGGGGACGAGGAAGAGAUUCCAAUGAUUAAAAAUCUGUUACAACAGUAUGCAGACAUCUUUGAGGAUCCAAAAAACUCCCCCUAAGAGAGAAAUAGAUCACCGUAUAUUGGUUUUACCGAACCAAGGCCCAUCAAUGUCAGACCAUAUAAAUAUGGUUAUGUACAGAAGGAGGAAAUUGAGAAAUUGGUGGUGGAAAUGCUGCAAGCAGGUGUGAUACGUCCCAGUCAUAGCCCUUACUCCAGCCCUGUUUUAUUGGUCAAAAAGAAAGAUGGAGGGUGGCGCUUUUGUGUAGAUUACCGGAAACUCAACCAAGUAACCAUAUGACAAAUUUCCUAUCCCAGUGAUAGAAGAACUGCUGGAUGAAUUACAUGGGCCACGGUUUUCUCAAAACUAGAUCUGAAGUCCGGUUACCAUCAAAUAAGGAUGCAGAGGAAGAUGUUGAGAAGACCGCGUUCAGAACACAUGAGGGUCACUAUGAAUUUCUGGUCAUGCCCUUCGGUCUUACAAACGCACCAGCCACCUUCCAGUCCUUGAUGAAUCAGGUAUUCAAACCUUUUUUAAGAAGGUGUGUAUUGGUGUUCUUCCAGUCCUUGAUGAAUCAGGUAUUCAAACCUAUGUUGACAACAGAUUUCGAGUUACAACUAUGGCCAACAGGUAUUGGGAAUUCGCUGGAAUAAAGAUUUGGGAGCUAACGAAUGGCUAGUCAAGUGGAAGAAUUUACCAGAAACUGAAGCCACAUGGGAAGCUGUCUAUCAAAUGAAUCAACAGUUUCCCACAUUCCACCUUGAGGACAAGGUGAAUUUGGAACCGAGGGGUGUUGUGAGACCCCCAAUCAUACAUACGUAUGUUAGGAAGGGUAAGAAGGGAAAUUCACCAACAAGUAAUGAGAGAGAAUGAGUGGGAAGUAAAAGAAUGUGCAGGUGGGUCCCACUGGGUAGGAAUUUGAGGGUGAGUAUAAAUAGAAUGAUUGGGAAAUAGGGAUAGGUAUCUAUUUUGUUAUCCUUAGGGAAAAGAGAGGGGGCAGCAGCCGAAAAGGGGAGGGGGUAUCCUUCUUGUAAAGGAUGCUGAUAUGCACUUGUUAUUUACUGUUCUUGCUUUCAUUUCAUAUUGUAGCUGUAUCUUUUGGCUAUAUACAUAAAUAAAGAAUCACAGGGUGCUGUCUCUGUUGGGUGUUUUAUUAGAAGGUGUGUUAGAAUCCUGACAGAAGCAUACCCAACUCUUGUUCCUACCAAUGUAGUAUUAACUACAAAAACAAUAUUUCCAUGAUUCUGCUACCAUCUAUUGAUUAAUACAACAAUGUCUCAUUCCAUAUAUGUCAAUUUUCUCACCCUUUUUCUGUAUGCUUCCACGAUUGGAGGUCUAUCAAAUUUUUAGGAUACUUGCAAUGGCCGCAUUUUAUUACAUUUGUAUACCAUCCUAUAUAUCAUAGUGUAAUUUCAUUUUCCUUUGAAGCUUUUAUUUCAAGAUAAAUUCCUAACUUUUCUCAUGAAUGUUCCUUACAUGCAAGGAAUUCUUCCUACUUUAGCUGAGGUUACUCAAUAUGAUCCCAGGACGUCAGAACAAGAGAAAGUUGAUAAUAAUAGCAGACAGCCAACUGUCGAAGAAGGGUCCUCUUCUCAAGCAGGGGCCAAAGGAAGCA
rnacentral:lncRNA from 1 species